AGGCUUAACACAUGCAAGUCGAGGGGAAACGACAUCGAAAGCUUGCUUUUGAUGGGCGUCGACCGGCGCACGGGUGAGUAACGCGUAUCCAACCUGCCCAUCACUUGGGGAUAACCUUGCGAAAGUAAGACUAAUACCCAAUGACGUCUCUAGAAGACAUCUGAAAGGGAUUAAAGAUUUAUCGGUGAUGGAUGGGGAUGCGUCUGAUUAGCUUGUUGGCGGGGUAACGGCCCACCAAGGCGACGAUCAGUAGGGGUUCUGAGAGGAAGGUCCCCCACAUUGGAACUGAGACACGGUCCAAACUCCUACGGGAGGCAGCAGUGAGGAAUAUUGGUCAAUGGGCGAGAGCCUGAACCAGCCAAGUAGCGUGCAGGAUGACGGCCCUAUGGGUUGUAAACUGCUUUUAUAAGGGAAUAAAGUGAGUCUCGUGAGACUUUUUGCAUGUACCUUAUGAAUAAGGACCGGCUAAUUCCGUGCCAGCAGCCGCGGUAAUACGGAAGGUCCGGGCGUUAUCCGGAUUUAUUGGGUUUAAAGGGAGCGUAGGCCGGAGAUUAAGCGUGUUGUGAAAUGUAGACGCUCAACGUCUGCACUGCAGCGCGAACUGGUUUCCUUGAGUACGCACAAAGUGGGCGGAAUUCGUGGUGUAGCGGUGAAAUGCUUAGAUAUCACGAAGAACUCCGAUUGCGAAGGCAGCUCACUGGAGCGCAACUGACGCUGAAGCUCGAAAGUGCGGGUAUCGAACAGGAUUAGAUACCCUGGUAGUCCGCACGGUAAACGAUGGAUGCCCGCUGUUGGUCUGAAUAGGUCAGCGGCCAAGCGAAAGCAUUAAGCAUCCCACCUGGGGAGUACGCCGGCAACGGUGAAACUCAAAGGAAUUGACGGGGGCCCGCACAAGCGGAGGAACAUGUGGUUUAAUUCGAUGAUACGCGAGGAACCUUACCCGGGCUUGAAUUGCAGAGGAAGGAUUUGGAGACAAUGACGCCCUUCGGGGCCUCUGUGAAGGUGCUGCAUGGUUGUCGUCAGCUCGUGCCGUGAGGUGUCGGCUUAAGUGCCAUAACGAGCGCAACCCCUCUCCUUAGUUGCCAUCAGGUCAAGCUGGGCACUCUGGGGACACUGCCACCGUAAGGUGUGAGGAAGGUGGGGAUG
rnacentral:rRNA from 1 species